rnacentral:lncRNA from 1 species
UUUUUAAAACCUAAUAUCAUAAAAACAAGUUUAAAUGAAGUUCAUUGUUUUGUAACGACUUGAAACGGAAAUAUUUCACAGCCUUUUUCGAGUACGACUUUCGAUUAUUAUCACUGUUUCAUUUCCGUUGUUCAAUCCUCAGAAUGCAGACUUAAGUCCUGCCUUGGCUUUGUUUGAAUUUGUUUGUUAGCUUUUUGGUCAUGAAUGUUUGUCUCUAAUAUUUAAUUAACUGUGCAUUUGUAUUCAGAUAUCGCAGAUCAAAUUUAUUCGUUCAUUGUGUAAUCAUGCGUUUUUUGAUUGAGUUAAGUCUGCCAAUUGAUAUUUUAUCGUGUGUUUUUCUAUGUUGUGAUGUUAUGCUAUUGUUUCAGAAAAAGGGAGAAGGUUUGGAUCCAUUAAAACGUUUAAUCCCGCUGCAAAUGUUUGCACCUGUCCUAAGUCAGGAAUCUGAUGUACAGUAGUUGUCGUUUGUUUAUGUAAUAUAUACGUGUUUCUCGUUUCUCGUUUUGUUUAUAUAGAUUAGACCGUUGGUUUUCCCGUUUGAAUGGUUUAACACUAGUAAUUUUGGGGCCCUUUAUAGCUUGUUGUUCGGUGUGAGCCAAGGCUCCGUGUUGAAGGCCGUACUUUAACUUAUAAUGGUUUACUUUUUAAAUUGUUAUUUGGAUGGAGAGUUGUCUCAUUGGCACUCACACCACAUCUUCCUACAUCUAUUAAGAAUAGUUAUCUGUCUGAUUUAUUCCUCCCAGCUACUUUAUAUUUGCUAGAUGAAAUGAAUUUUAAUAGCAUAAAAUUAAGUACUUGGAUGAGAAAUCAGAAAUUACAUCUGACAG